rnacentral:RNase_P_RNA from 1 species
AUUUGCGGGAUAAGGGUGAAAACGUGAGGUAAGAGCUCACGGCGUACGCAGCGAUGUGUGCGCGGGUAAACCUCAGGAGUUGAAAGACCAAAUAAGUCAGGGUAUGUCGCAAGACAAGAAGAGCGGCUCGCUCAAAUCCCUGGCGGGUAGGUCGAUGGAGGUGACACGCGAGUGUUAUCCCAGAUAAAUGAUAGAAACCCUGGUGUUUCAUCAGGGUACAGAACCCGGCUUACAAACCAAUGAUGUGC